rnacentral:rRNA from 1 species
GCAGUCGAGGGGUAUAGUUCUUCGGAAUAGAGACCGGCGCACGGGUGCGUAAUGCGUAUGCAAUCUACCUUUCACAGAGGGAUAGCCCAGAGAAAUUUGGAUUAAUACCUCAUAGUAUAGUGAUACCGCAUGGUAGUACUAUUAAAGUCACAACGGUGAAAGAUGAGCAUGCGUCCCAUUAGCUUGUUGGUAAGGUAACGGCUUACCAAGGCUACGAUGGGUAGGGGUCCUGAGAGGGAGAUCCCCCACACUGGUACUGAGACACGGACCAGACUCCUACGGGAGGCAGCAGUGAGGAAUAUUGGACAAUGGGCGCAAGCCUGAUCCAGCCAUGCCGCGUGCAGGAUGACGGUCCUAUGGAUUGUAAACUGCUUUUGCACAGGAAGAAACAACUCUACGUGUAGAGUCUUGACGGUACUGUGAGAAUAAGGAUCGGCUAACUCCGUGCCAGCAGCCGCGGUAAUACGGAGGAUCCAAGCGUUAUCCGGAAUCAUUGGGUUUAAAGGGUCCGUAGGCGGUUUGGUAAGUCAGUGGUGAAAGCCCAUCGCUCAACGGUGGAACGGCCAUUGAUACUGCCAGACUUGAAUUAUUAGGAAGUAACUAGAAUAUGUAUUGUAGCGGUGAAAUGCUUAGAGAUUACAUGGAAUACCAAUUGCGAAGGCAGGUUACUAC